GAAUCACUUGAACCCAGGAGGUGGAGGCUGCAGUGAGCCAAGAUGGCGCCAUUGCACUCCAGCGUGGGCAACAAGAGUGAAACUUC
rnacentral:miRNA from 1 species